rnacentral:tRNA from 1 species
GGGGUUGUAGCUCAGUGGUUGAGCGCUUGCCUUGCAUACGGGAGGCACUGGGUUCGAUUCUCAGCACCA